UAGGUAGGGUGCAAGCGUUAAUCGGAAUUACUGGGCGUAAAGCGUGCGCAGGCGGUUGUGUAAGUCAGAUGUGAAAUCCCCGGGCUCAACCUGGGAAUUGCAUUUGAGACUGCACGGCUAGAGUGUGUCAGAGGGGGGUAGAAUUCCACGUGUAGCAGUGAAAUGCGUAGAGAUGUGGAGGAAUACCGAUGGCGAAGGCAGCCCCCUGGGAUAACACUGACGCUCAUGCACGAAAGCGUGGGGAGCAAACAGG
rnacentral:rRNA from 1 species